AUUGAACGCUGGCGGCAGGCCUAACACAUGCAAGUCGAGCGAGUGGCGUGCGGGUUAGUUAUGACUGUGACACGUCCUGAUGGAUAGGGAUAACAACUGGACACGGUAGCUACUACCGUCUACAAUACGCUAUGCCCAGAUGGGAUUAGCUAGUUGUUGGGGUAAAGGCUAACCAAGGCGAAGAUCCCUAGCUGGUCUGAGAGGAUGACCAGCCACACUGGAACUGAGACACGGUCCAGACUCCUACGGGAGGCAGCAGUGGGGAAUAUUGCACAAUGGGCGAAAGCCUGAUGCAGCCAUGCCGCGUGUAUGAAGAAGGCCUUCGGGUUGUAAAGUACUUUCAGUGGGGAGGCGUUACCAGCAGAAGAAGCACCGGCUAACUCCGUGCCAGCCGCCGCGGUAAUAC
rnacentral:rRNA from 1 species